rnacentral:tRNA from 1 species
GUAUGAAGUAAUUUUUACAAUUAGUUUCGACCUAAUAAUAUGAUAUAAAUUUAUAUCCAUGCU